rnacentral:rRNA from 1 species
UACGAAGGGGGCUAGCGUUGUUCGGAAUUACUGGGCGUAAAGCGCACGUAGGCGGAUCGAUCAGUCAGGGGUGAAAUCCCAGGGCUCAACCUCGGAACUGCCUUUGAUACUGCAAGUCUCGAGUCCGAUAGAGGUGGGUGGAAUUCCUAGUGUAGAGGUGAAAUUCGUAGAUAUUAGGAAGAACACCGGUGGCGAAGGCGGCCCACUGGAUCGGUACUGACGCUGAGGUGCGAAAGCGUGGGGAGCAAACAGG